CUGACACAGGGAGGUAGUGACAAUAAAUAACAAUGCCGGGCCUUUGUAGGUCUGGCAAUUGGAAUGAGAACAAUUUAAACCCCUUAUCGAGUAUCAAUUGGAGGGCAAGUCUGGUGCCAGCAGCCGCGGUAAUUCCAGCUCCAAUAGCGUAUAUUAAAGUUGUUGCAGUUAAAAAGCUCGUAGUUGGAUUUCUGGCAGAAGUGACCGGCCACACACACUGUGUGUGAGUUGUGCAUUUUGGCCAUCCUUGGUGAGAUCCUGUUUGGCAUUAAGUUGUCGGGCAGGGGAUAACCAUCGUUUACUGUGAAAAAUUAGAGUGUUUAAAGCAGGCUUAUGCCGUUGAAUAUAUUAGCAUGGAAUAAUAAGAUAGGACUUUGAGUCUAUUUUGUUGGUUUGUGAAUCAAAGUAAUGAUUAAUAGGGAUAGUUGGGGGCACUCGUACUCCGUUGUCAGAGGUGAAAUUCUUGGAUUGACGGAAGACGAACAACUGCGAAAGCAUCUG
rnacentral:rRNA from 1 species